GUAGCAUUCGCUGCUCCAUGCUGGCCCUAUACACUUGUGCUCCUUUACGUCGGCGUUAAACAUUUUGCCUCCAAUCAAGCAUGUUGCCUUGCACAGGAAGCCUACACAGAGUGGACUCCCAGAGGUAUUUCCCCAACACUUUUUUUCUGCAACGAAUUAACAUGCGUGUUUAUAUCCAUGAAGAACUUACAGUCGAAGAGAAAAAAUAAUAAUAGUCGGAAGAAUAGAAUUGAUGCGGUUUCUUCAUGAAUUAUUUGCCGAUUAUCAUCCGUCUGAACCGAAUGAGACAAAAGAAGAGCACAAACCUGCAGAACCAUGAUUCGCGAAUAACACAAGGAUCAGCACAAAGCAGAUGGUAGCAUUUCUCGCACCCAUAAUCGAUGGUGUUGGGCGAAGUAUCAAGUAUACUCUCUCUUUUCUGUUCUUUCUCUAGUUAGUUUUGAUAUGGAGCAAGUACUGUUAUGCCAGAGAGAUUAUGCAAUAUUUAUAGACUUGGAAGAAAAAGAUUUGUAUAGGAGAGGACAAACAUGUUUAAUAACUUCCUUUUUUGAAAAGGAGGUAAAAUAUGUUUAAUACUCCCUCCUCCCAAAAUUAUUGUUUUAGAUUUGUCUAAAUACGGAUGUAUCAAGUCACGUUUUAGUAUUAGAUACAUCCGUAUCUAAGCAAAUCUAAGACAAGAAUUUUGGGGCGGAGGAAGUAACUUCUUUUUUUGAAAGUCUCAAAAUUCUUGUCUUAAAUUUGUCUAAAUACGGAUGUAUCAAGUCACGUUUUAGUAUUAGAUACAUCUGUAUCUAGGCAAAUCUAAGACAAGAAUUUUGGGACGGAUGGAGUAUCUUUUUUUUUUUGACAAGGAGAUAAACAUAUGUUUAAUAACUUCUAUUUUUGAAAAGGAGGUAAAAAUAUGUUUAAUAACUUCUUUUGUUGAAAAUGAGGUAAAAUAUAUAUGUCCAACAACUUGAUAGAUAUGCAAUAUGUUGGUCUGUAAGAAUACCAAGGAGAAAAAAAAUUCUCCUAGACCCUUUCUUUCUCUUAAAAACUUCCGUAAACUUUUAGAGGAAGUUUCUUCAGAGCUACUUUUGUCAGAUCCUGCAAACUUCUUCCUCUAAAUCUGUUUAUUUUAUUUCAUUUUAUUUUCCACUAAAUAAAACUAGAUAAUGGCCUAGGGCCUGCCAGUCAGUGACAUGGGUGUCAGCCUUCGGCGAGGGAGUGCAGUGGCCGUCGGUGAGAGGCGGUGUGGUGACCGGGAGCUGCGCAUGGGCGGGGCGUGUAGUGGCGUAGCGGCUGCAUUCUCGCGGGACGGCGGCGUGUUGGCGGGUUGGCGGUGCGUCGGAAAGUUGCAAGCAGUUUCUAGCCCACCAAAAGCUUACCAGAGGAAAGUUUGGGCCAAGUUUACACGAUCCUCUAAAUUUAUUCCACAUUUCUGGGAUCUGUUGGAAGCUUGUAGAUGCUCUAAAGCUGGGGGGGAGGGGGGGCUCCUAUUCUACGAUGUAUGCGGGGAGUAGCAACGAGACGCACACUCACUUGUCCGUUUGUUUCACUUUGUUUCACUUUGUUAUUUGUUUUACUUUUCCGUUUUUUCUUCUUUAUGAAAGUUUGGAUUUUUUAAAAAGUCCUGAAUUUGAACUCAAAUAAUUUUCAUGAUUUUUUUAAAUUUGAAGAACAUUUUUGAAUAUCACGAAUAUGUUUUUUAACUCAUGAACAUUUUUAAUAUGAUAAAUAAUUUUAAAAUUGAUGAAUUUUAUUUGAAUUUUAUGAACAGUUUUUUAAUUAAAAUUGAUGAAGAUUUUUUGAAUUUGAUGGAUACUUUUUAAAUUUGGUGAACGAAAUAUAUUCGUGAUUUCAAAAAAAAUCAUAGAUUUUAAAAAAGUAUUCACGAAAAGAGAAGAAAAUAAAAAGGAAAAAAUAAAACAAAACAGAAAAUAAAAACGAACAUGAAAAAAUGUAUAAAAAGAAAAUCUAUUAAACGCACCUGAGAAGACCUGGAAUCUUACUGGCUAGCGGCACAUAGGUUGCUGUACUAGCUAGCGCAUGUAUGAUCCUCACUUCUGCAUCUUAAAUUUGAAGAUGGUUUCUCCUAUGCUCAACAUAAUUUUUAUAACCCCGUAAAAAACAUAUUUUUAAUAAACGCGUGUCAUCAAAUGUUUGUGGACACAUCCAUACAUAUCCAUGCAAAAAAAAAAUCCAUACAUAUCCAUGGAGAGCCGUGCAGGCACCGAUCAUCCAAUCAUAUUUUCCAAAUGUCAGUCUAAUGGAGAAAAGAGAGAAGGGAGCGGGAUGAAAAAAUGUAUUUGUGAUGUGGUCCAAGGCUGAGUUGGCGCGUCCGCGGCGUGUUUGGACUCCCCCAAUCACUCCUAGGUUUGGUCUUUUUUUUUCGAACAUCUCCUAGGUUUGGUCCUGAUUUGUGGGAUUUGGGAUGUGAGGACUGCCUGACCCACUGUCCACGGAUAUUUGGCGACUCUCUUUUGUAUGUGAGAAAAACUUUCGAUUUAUUCAUCUUCAAUCAUGAAGUACAAUGAGCACUAGAAAUUAUAAAAAUUACAUCCAGUUUUGUAAACCACCUAGCGACGACUACAAACACUGAGGUGAGUCGAAGGCACGCCGCAGUCAUCGCUCCUCCCUCACUGAAGCGGGGCAAAACUUGUUGUAGUAGGCAGUUGGAAAGUCGUCGUGCUAAGACCCAUAGGACCAACGCACCAGAACGGCAACCACUGCCGAUGAAGAGUGGCGUAGAUCAGAAGGAUCCAACCUGAAGACACGCGAAUAUAGAUGAACGACGACCAGAUCCGAGCAAAUCCACCAAAGACAGAUCCGCCGGAGACACACCUCCACACGCCCACCGACGAUACUAGGCGCACCACCGGAAUGGGGACUAGGCGGGGAGACCUUUAUUCCAUCUUCAAGGAGCCGCCGCUGUCUCGCCUUCCUGAGCAGAACACAAACCCUAACAAAACUCGAAGAAACAUCUAAAAACGGUGUCCUCCCACCCGCAAGGAUAGGGAUCCAUCUCACCCGCAUGGCCCUAAGGCCACCGGAGACAAGGCGGAUCAACGCUGGCGGGAGUCGGAGGAACCCUCGAAUUUUUUUUGGAAGGCGACGGCUACAACAUGAGGAUAUUUGGUGACUCUCGUUGGAUGGUAAAAAGUGUUCGGACCAUCCAGUCCAGAUAUUUAUGGGCGAUUUGGUGAUCUAUAUGGAGUUGCCCUAGGUUCCCAAGAUUUGAAGUCUCCUGGUGUGUAAGGAGCUACGGGCCUCGUCUGUAAGGGGGUGUGUCGCCGGGUCGGUCAUUUUUUUGGGGUUUUGGCCAAUUAUUGUCUGAUUUUUGUUUUUUCUUUAUUUUAUGUGUUUUCAUUGGUUUUAACUUUUUGUUGUGUUUUUCUAUUUUCACUUUUCACAUUUAAUUCAUGAGAAGUUUCUCAAUUUCAUGAAUAAUUUUGAAGUCCUUGAACAUUUAAAAUUUGCAAACAAUGUUUAAAAUCAAUGAAUAUUUUCAAAAUUCAUUAACAUUUUUUUUCAGAAUUCAUGUAUUUUCAAUAUGUUACAUUUUUAAAAUCCAAGCUUUGUUAAAAUACAUGAGCUUCUUUACAUAAAGGAAAUAUGGUAGCAGAUUUCAUUUGAGCUAGCAAUGGAGCGAGUCGGAAAAAAAACUAAGCAAGCGAGCUGAGCAGGUAGCUGAGCUGAGCGAGCGAGAUCUUCAUGGGCCGACCCAUGUAGGCGUUAUAGCAGCAAUUCCAUUGUUUCAAGGUGGAACAAGAGCUCUCAAAGGGCUCACACAAACACCACCAAUAUUUUUUUUGAAAGAUCCAGCAAGUGCUAUCUUCAAUUAGAUUUAGCAGAAAGCAGUGGAAGAACAACAAGGGGAGGAUCUGAAGAUCAAAGAAAAAAAGUCAAUCCUAUUGGCUGCAGAACAAUACUACACACACGACAGAUAGUCAUCCACCCACAACAAGACAACGCAGCUCCGACUCUGGUGAAGAACUACGGAGAACUAGACAAGGCUCGCAUCAUGGAAGAUCACCGAACGAACUAGCUAUUGCCCGUCAUCGUAUGCCACCGGGCCCACACUGCAGCUUCGACUUUCCACGGACACGCUGGAGAAGAGCCGACUACCACGACUAAUGUCACGCCUCUGACAAUGCUCACCAUCAUCAUCAUUGCCACAUAAGCCUAACCGCCCUCAUUGCCACACGAUCAAGCAGAACGAACGACUUCCCCCACCUAUCACUGGUCCCUCUGGCAGUAAGAAGCUCCUGAAACGAUGCCUCAAGAGGUAUGACACACGUCGCCAUCAUCGUUUGAUCCUAGGGGAUCAAGGGUUUCCCCCGAGCUUCCUUGCGUAGUGGAGCUCACACGCCACCUCAAUGAGGCCUUCAAUAAGGAAGCGAAUGCCCACGAGCAUCACCCCAUUGGCCACGGCCACUGCCGGAAACAAGGCCUUAGCCCAGCACUACGCAACUGCCUCCCACCCAAUCAAAUACCGGUUAGACCUUCGUCACCAUCCCCGCCCGACAGCGUGGGUGGUGCUCGAGGGGGUCUGAUUUUCAAGAAUGAAAUAUCAAGGAUAAGAAUGAAAACCCAAACACCACCAGGUAACACCAAGACCGAAACGUGCGUAUAAGGACACCACAACCACACACCUAAUGACUCCACUCUUCUUUCCGAAAAAUACCAUCUCCAACAACAACCUAAUAUGAUAUAACGAAUGAGAAAAAAAAAUACCGCCAAACAUAAUUAAAAAUAACAUGGAAUUGUCUCAGAUCAAUGCUAACAAUAGAUCGGCAUGGCCGAUUGUUUAGACCUCCACUAAGACAACGCAGCACCGACUCUCAGAUCAAUGCUAACAAUGGAUUAGCAUAUCAUAUACAUUCACGAUUACAAAUCAAUGGACAUUUUUUGUCGGGAUAACAAUGCACUUGUUUACAAAAUUCAUAUCAUCACAACAUCGACGAGAAUAAAUUAUUCAGGCACUUUAUAUGCUAAACCAAGAAAUUACAAACUAGUGCCCAUGUUUCUUUGACCAUUUGUGCUAACAAACUAUUUGUCGCAGAGAUAGCAGUAGCAUUGGCUAUUGAAUGAUGACCCUAUGCACUUGUGUUCCUUGACGACAGCAUUAAACAUUUUGCCCGCAAUCGAGCAUGUCGCCUGGCAUAGAAAGCCUACACAGAGUGGACUGCCAGAGGUAUUUUCCCAGCAUUUUUGUUCUGCAACGAAUUAACACACAUGUUCAUAUCCAUGAAGAACUUAUAACCGAAGAAAAACCAAUAGAAUUGCUGCAGAUUCUCCAUGAAUUAUUUGCCGAUUAUCAUCGGUCUGAACAGAACGAGACGAAGAGAAGAGCACAAACCUGCAGAAGCAUGAUUCGCUAAUAACACAAGGAUCAGCACAAAGCAGAUGGUAGCAAUCCUCGCACCCAUAAUCGAAGGCGUUGGCCCUUGGCCGUAGUAUCAAGUAUACUCUCUUUUUUCUGUUCUUUCUCUAGUUAGUUUUGAUAUGGAGCAAGUACUGUUAUGCCAGAGAGAACAUGCAAUAUUUAUAGAUUUGGAAGUUAAAGAUUUCUAGCCUCAUUUGGUAACAGGGGAUCCUCCCAGGAUACCCGUCCUUUCCCUGGGUGAGAAAAAUCUGCUUCCAAAAUAAAGGUACUCUUCAUCAGAUGUGUUUUUUCUGAAUAAUAUGUUUCCAUCGCAUGUGCUUCCAUCAGCAAAAAGAAAGUUUCAUGGCACGUUUCCUAUAAGGGUGUAGACGUAGAACAGGACAGAUAAGUUUAAUAACUUCUUUUUUUGAAAAGGAGGUAAACAUAUUUUUAAUAACUUCUUUUUUGAAAAGGAGGUAAACAUAUUUUCAAUAACUUCUUUUUUGAAGGACGCCGAUAACGUCCACACGUGUGGGCGUUAAGGGGUCUGCCCACACAUUUUAUGUGGUGUUUAAGAGAAUCAGCCAACACACCUACGUGUGGGCAAAACAAGUAAUGCCCACGCGUCUCUUUUUUUUCUCGCAGUCCCUCUCACAUGCCUUCAUGUGGGCAAAAUAGAUAACGCCCACACGCCCGUACGUCAGGCCUCCUACCUUAUGGUCCCGCAUGCCCUGCGUGACAGUCACCACGCGUCCCCGUAGUUGCCAUGGUCUGGACCCUCUUUCAUGUUCAUUUAACUGCAGUUGCCAUGUCGCCGAACUACAGUUGCCAUGUCGGACAACUACAGUUGCCAUGAUUGCUCAACUGCAGUUGUCAUGUAUGGUCUGGUCUACUGCAGUUGCCAUGAUUUCAAAGCUUUAGGAGUUGUCACCUACUAACACUAGGCAGUUGCCAUGUAGCACUACAAAAAAGGCAUGGCAAAAAAACAUGUUCAGGUAAAAGAGAGAGAGCUGCCAUGUGCUCACAAGCACGCUAGGGCAAUUGCCAUGUAAAAGAAAGAGUUGUCAUCUGCUUACAUGCACACUAGGGCAGUUGCCAUGUACUAUGCAAAAACACAUGGCAACUCGGAUAAAAGAGAAUUGCCAUAUGCUUACAAGCAAAGUUAGGGCAGUUGUCAUGUACCAUGCAGAAACACAUGGCAACUGACAACUUUGGAUGUGGGCGAGGAGACGGACGUGUGGGCGAAGUGAUAAACGCUCACACACCAGUCCCUCUGUGUGCGUGAAAACUAGUGUGUGGACAAAUUGCUAAACGCCCACACACCAGCCCCCGGUGUGGUGAAAAAGGACGUGUGUGAGACCGGAUGAAUGCCCACACACCAGCUCAGUCCUACGUGGCACACAAAAACUGCUAGAACACGCUAAGAUUCGUGCAGAAUUGGUUGGACGAGGAUCCAUGCGUGUGGGCAAGUUGCCAGACGUCCACACGUGUGGGCGUUAGUCUUUCCGUUUUUGGAAAGGAGGUAAACAUAUUUUUAUUAACUUCUUAUUUUUGAAAACGAGGUACAGAUAUGUUUAAUAACUUCUUUUCUGAAAAGGAAGUAAAUAUACGUUUAAUAACUUCUUUCUUUGAAAAUGAGGUAAAAACAUGUUUAAUAACUUCUUUCUUUGAAAAGGAGGUAAUAACAUGUUUAAUAAUUUCUUUCUUUAAAAAGGAGGUAAAAAUACACUUAAUAACUUGAUUAAUAUAUGCAAUCUGUUUGUCCGUCAGAAUACCAAAAGUGAGGAAUUCUCCUCGACUCUUUCAGUUGGAGUUAGCGCGCUAGAUCUUUUUGUUUAUAUACAAACUCGCAAAGCUUUUAUUACGUCAUCACAAUAUUUACAAGGACAGAGUAAAGGUUUUCGGGUUGACCUAACCAGACAUGGUGGUCAAUCCCCAAAGAAAGAACAUGCUUUGCGAGGUUGUGAGCCUCUACACUAUAGGUCCUAACCUCGGGCUUAAAAUCACAAGAUGCAAAAGGAGAUGAAUAAUCUAUCAUUUCAUUUACUACCGCUCCAUAGCUUGCUGCAGUCCCCACUUUGAUCGCGUCGAUGAUAACAUUGCAGUCGGACGCCACCACCAUUUGUUGAACAUAAAGAUCCUCUGCCAAUGCCAAAGCCUCACGAGUGGCCAAAGCUUCAAGUGUAGAAGGAUCAUCAAUGAAGGGAAAUAGAAUCCCAGAUGCUCCCAAGCAAGUGCCUUCGUGAUCACGGCAGAUCGCUCCCAACGAUCCAAAACCUCCGCUCCUUGACAUCACAUCAUCCACAUUGAUCUUGCCAUGGUCAAAUGGGGGAGGCACCCACUGGUUUUUUCUGAUAACUGGUGCUUGGGGCCUCACCAUUGCUGGUUUCUGCAAUAUCUCAAUCUCUGUCAUGUAAGAAGAAACAAAGUCGUGGGUAGACGCAUGAUUUUGAAAGAUAUCUUCAUGGAUCGCUUUCCUUUUAAUUUGGUCCAUUAAAUUGCCCAUAGAGUAGUGAUCGUUCUUGUAAAAGAUUCAUGUGAUAAUGUGUUAAUGGACCAAUCGUGGCUAAAACAUGCUGCAAUCCGGGCUUGAGAUGGCACGAUAGGAAAUGGCCCAAAGACCUGAUAUCAGCCCAGGUAGCGUUCAUGUUGGCCAUCUAGCUAGUAAAUGCACAUGAGAAAGGCCUCGAGUCUUACUGGCCCAUUUUUGUGCCUCACUUCUACCACUUAAAUUUGAGCAUAGUUCCUCCUAUAUUCAACACAUUUUUUUAUUAAACGCAACACAUGUCACAAAAUGUCCAAGGACACCGACCAUCCAAUCAUAUAUUUAUUAAAUGUUCGCCCUUUGUCUAAUGGAGAAAGGAGAAAGAAGAGAGUGAGAGGAAAAAGUGGAUUUGUGGUGAGUUUCAAGGAUGAGUUAGUGUGUCCGCAACCUUACUGGACUCCCCCAAACAACUCCUAGGUUUGGCUCCGGUUUGUGGGAUUUUCAGUGUGCCAACUGCCUGGCCCAUUGUCCAUAGAUAUUUGGUGACUUUCUUUGGAUGACGAAAGUGUCUGGACCGUCCGGCCCGGACAUUUAGAAACGGUUUGGUGAUCCGUCUUGGAGUUGCCCUGAUCUCCCUAGAUUUGAAGCCUCCUGGUGUGUCAAGAGCUAUGGGCCCCUCCUAUAAGGGUGUGUGUCGCUGGGCUGAACAAUUUUUUUGGUUUUGAAAGGUUAUUGUCUUGUUUUUGUUCUUUCUUUCUUUUCUGUGUUUUUGUUGUUUUUUUGUUUUUUCAUGCUUUUUUCUAUUAUAUUUUAACUUUUCACAUUUUAAAUAAUGAACAUUUUUAAGAGUUCUUAACAAUUUUUAUAAUUAAUGUGCAUUUUCUCCAAUUCAUUAAUAAAGUUCAUGAACAUUUUAAAUUCCUUGAAUAUUUAAAAUUGCUAACAAUUUUCAAAUUGUCAAACAUUGUUUGAAAUUUGCGAAAAUUCAUAAUUAGUGUAUUUUUAAUUCAUUUUUUCUUCAAAAAAUCCAGGUUUUAUUAAAAUAAGUGAAUUCUUUUGAUUUAAUGAAUUUACUUAAAUAAAAAAUAUGACAGGGGUUAAAACAUGGAGUCAGAGCUCUCAACGAGCUCACACAACACCACCGGGUAACACCGAGGUUAAAACGUGUAAGGACACCACAAUUACGAAUCUAACAACUCCACUCUUCUCUCGGAAUAAAUUAUCAUCUCCAACAACAGCCCAACAUGAUAAUGAGGUAAACACCACCGAAACUUAAUUAAAAUAUAACAUGGAACCAUUUUCGAUCAGUGCUAACAAGGGAUCGGUAUGACCGAUUGCUUAGACCUCCUGAGACGAUUAGCACAUCAUAUACAUUUGCAAUUACAAAUCAAUGGGCAUCUUUUGUCGGGAUAAUAACGCACUUAUCUAUAAAAUUCACAUCAUCACAACAUCGCCGAACAAUGAAGUUGACAACGAGAAUAAAUUAUCCAUUACCUUUAUAUUCUAAACCAAGAAAUAACAAACUAUUCCCCUAGGUUUCCUUGACCAUUUCUAAUAGUGAAGCAAUCUUCGGUUCCACCCUACCAAACUAUUUGUCGCACAGAUAGCAGUAGCACUGGCUAUUGAAUGCUGACCCUAUACACCUGUGUUCCUUGACGACAGAAUUAAACAUUUUGCCGGCAAUGAAGCAUGUCGCCUUGCACAGAAAGCCUAUGCAGAGUGGACUGCCGGAGGUACUUUCCCAGCACUUUUCUUCUGCAACAAAUUAACACGCAUGUUUAUAUCCAUGAAGAACUUAUAACCGAAGAGAAACCCCCCCAAAAA
rnacentral:lncRNA from 1 species